GCUCCGGUGACCUGGUGGUUAGAGAAUCUGCCUUGGCUGCGGAAGGUCGCGGGUUCGAACCCUGACCGAGUCA